UUUUUUUCUUUCUUUUUUUUUUUGGUGAAUGAUCUGAUGAUCAGGCUUUACCUUCUGGAACUGAUGGUCACAGAAUGAGCCCUACAGCCCAUAGCAACAUGGCAGCAGGCAUAGCCAGGUAUUCCAGGUUCAUAUCCAUGAGCCAGUAUGAAGUGUCUGCUUUUAAAGCCACUCACAAAACUUCCAAUAGAGUGUAUGUGUGCUCUGUGUGUGUGCACACGCUUUGGAUGACCUUCUCCCGCUUCUGUUACUGAGAGAAGAUAAAGCUUUAAUAACUUUAAACACCAUAUUUGCAGUAAAUACUCAUGAGCCUAGCAUAGAAUUGUCAGCCUUUCCCUACACAUAGAUUGGAGUCACAUUUCGUUGAUCUGCCUUUUAAGGAAGCACUGUUGUUCUGUAUUUGACACUACAACUUUUAAGUCUUGGAGUAUUUGGCCUUUCCAUGUUCUGAUUUAGAUGAAUCCCCAUGAGCUUAGGCAGUUCACCUCUUAUUCAGGUAUAGGUUAGCCUCAUGAUUGCUAUUGCUUUGUGUUUUAAUGCCAUAUGCCUUUCUUGACUGCAGUUACUAAAAAUACUUAUUAAAUACCUGCUUUAUGCAAGGCACUUUGAGAAGGGUGCUAAAAAUGUAUAAAACAUGAUUCUUGCUUUCAAGAAACAGAUGCCAUAAUAUGGGAGAUAAUACACAAAUAACAGCAAUAGAGCAAUAUGUGAUAAAUAACUGGAACAACCACAGAGAUUUCGGAGGCAUUAAAGAGCUCCUUCUCGUUAACUCCCAUGACGGAAGAGUGUAGCAUUUGAGCUGACAUUGAGGGACAGAUAAGUGGGGUCACGGUAAAAAUGGAGAGGAGGAAAGAACCACUUAAGGAAAAACAUAAUCAAAGAGGGCAAGAGUAUAUAAAAUGAAGUUAAAAGAAACAAAAAGAAAACUUUGCUGAUAUUCUUUAUGCUUCCUGGCAUCAGCACCUUCCCUCAAUUUCUGACCCCAUGUGACUGGUCCUGAGAGCAUCACACAAAAAUAUGCCCUGGAAAAAUGGAACAUGAGUCGCCUGCACCCCCAGAGGGGAGAACAAUGGGGCCUUCGCUUGGCCCUGUCUUUCCAGCAUUCUGUGAUUCAAGGCAGUUUACUUGUAACUGACUAGUUAAAUGGAUUUACCAGUGGUAGACCUUAUCUAGUUUAAACAUCAUGAAAUAGACCUGUACUGAGAAGGAUUUCUGCAGAAGCUGCAAGCAGAGGUAACACUAAUAAUGCAAACCCAAGACAAUGCUGACACACACGGAGCGGACACUAAUGCUUGUGAACGCAGACCAGUGCGUCCUUAACCUCACACUUUACGUGUUCCUUUCAGCAGAGGUGAGUUUCCAGCAGAGAGGGGCAAUCUCACUGCUUUUCAGAAGAAACUCAUGAGUGGACAGAUCUUUUGGAGAGUGGCACCAUUUUUUUGUUAUUUUGUUGGUGGAAAAGAUGGAAAUAUGUAACCUAUCAGGACUAUCAUAUCUUCACACUCCACCUUGGAAACAUUUUCUAAUGUAUUUAAAAAUCUCCCCAGUGAAGAAUUUCAGUAGAUUUUGAAACUAUUUAUUUAAAAUGUAAAAUUGAAACACCUUGGGAUUACUUUGAACUGGAACAACUGAUUGACAUCAGGACAGACAAUUUUUGAUACAAUUUUCUAGGCAAAUUGCAUCAAAAAAUUGUGCAUGGUUAGUGGGGCAGAUUUAAUAUAUUAGUACUGUGCUUCCACCAGUCAAGCC
rnacentral:lncRNA from 1 species